CUACGGGCCGCAGCAGUGGGGAAUAUUGGACAAUGGGGGAAACCCUGAUCCAGCAAUGCCGCGUGUGUGAAGAAGGCCUGCGGGUUGUAAAGCACUUUCGGUUGGGAGGACUGCUUCUAGCACUAAUAUUGUUGGAAGUUGACGUUACCUUCAGAAGAAGCACCGGCUAACUCCGUGCCAGCAGCCGCGGUAAUACGGAGGGGUGCAAGGUUAAUCGGAAUUACUGGGCGUAAAGCGCGCGUAGGCGGCUAGAUCAGUCGGGUGUGAAAGCCCCGGGCUUAACCUGGGAACUGCAUCCGAUACUGUCUAGCUUGAGUACAGGAGAGGAGAGUGGAAUUCCACAUGUAGCGGUGAAAUGCGUAGAUAUGUGGAGGAACACCAAUGGCGAAGGCAGCUCUCUGGCCUGAUACUGACGCUGAGGUGCGAAAGCGUGGGGAGCAAACAGGAUUAGAUACCCUUGUAGUC
rnacentral:rRNA from 1 species